UACAGAGGUCCCAAGCGUUGUUCGGAUUCACUGGGCGUAAAGGGUGCGUAGGCGGUCGGAUAAGCUCUGAUGUAGAAUCUUCGAGCUCAACUCGGAAACUGCAUCGGAAACUAUUCGGCUGGAGGAUUGGAGGGGAGACUGGAAUUCUCGGUGUAGCAGUGAAAUGCGUAGAUAUCGAGAGGAACACCAGUGGCGAAGGCGAGUCUCUGGACAAUUCCUGACGCUGAGGCACGAAAGCUAGGGGAGCAAACAGG
rnacentral:rRNA from 1 species